rnacentral:rRNA from 1 species
UGAGGAAUUUUGCGCAAUGGGGGAAACCCUGACGCAGCAACGCCGCGUGAGUGAUGAAGGCCUUUGGGUCGUAAAACUCUGUCAGCAGGAAAGAAGUUAUAGAGGGUUAAUACCCCUUUAUAUUGACGGUACCUGCAAAGGAAGCACCGGCUAACUCCGUGCCAGCAGCCGCGGUAACACGGAGGGUGCAAGCGUUAUUCGGAAUUAUUGGGCGUAAAGGGCGCGUAGGCGGCUAAACAGGUCAGGUGUGAAAGCCCGGGGCUUAACCCCGGAAGUGCAUUUGAAACCGUUUGGCUUGAGUAUGGGAGAGGAGAGCGGAAUUCCUGGUGUAGAGGUGAAAUUCGUAGAUAUCAGGAGGAACACCGGUGGCGAAGGCGGCUCUCUGGACCAAUACUGACGC